rfam:Gossypium hirsutum cultivar TM-1 chromosome 19, whole genome shotgun sequence
CACGUCAGCGCGCUUUGCUAAUGUGGCAACAAAGCGCGGCCUACAGAACGCGAUAUUUGUCCACGUCAGCAAAGCGCGCUGACGUGG